AGCAGCAGCAAGAUGAAGUAGGAAGUAGGAACCUUCGGUAUUCCAAGCUCAAGCUGGGUAUUUUUCAGCUCGAGGCCCUUAAUCUUUUUUGCAUUCGAGCUGAAAAAUAGCCAGAAUUGAGAGUUUUGCUUUGAUGUUGAUAGGCUUGUGCUUGGAAUACCGAAGGUUCCUACUUCCUACUUCAUCUUGCUGCUGCUA